GGAUUCAAAGUCUUCCUGAAGUUCCGCAAUUUGGGCUUGUAGCUCUCGCACAACUUUAAGGGCAUUGUUCUUAUGGAGUGUUUCAUCGUCACCUCUGUUAAAACACCCGGGCACAAGAGGCGCUCAGAGACGGCGCCCGGAUGGCCUGUUUCUCAGGUGAGCCCCAGCCCCUGAGCACCUCUCCACGAGACCCCAGUCCCACAUCCCUCCUCCUGGGGCCUGAGGCUGGUGCAGAUGCUCCGCACCUGCGAGGGCAGGAGGAGGUCCUUGGGUAGAGGACUUGCUGAAGGCCCCAAAGCUAAUGAUGGCAGAGCCAGAACUAGAUUCCAGCCCAGCCCCCUUUCCAAACGACCAGGCUUCUCCAUUAAAAGGUAGGACACUCUUACUUUAGCCCUUAGAAUACGAAAACAUUUUCUCUGAAGUCAAAGGCUGUUAUAGUUAAAAAUCUGCUUCUAACUAUGAAGGAGUGACCUCCUCCAUCACACCAGAACCCAGCCAAACCAGGGAUGCUCAGAGAACCCACUGGAAUGCAGCCAAACCAGGGAUGCUCAAAGAACACAGUGGAAGAAAGAGGCUCUCAUCCUCACACCAUAGGGCAACUUUUUGUUUAUGUCUGUGGUUUAAAAUGUUGGAAGAUUCUUCUGAUUGGGAAUAGCUGGGAUGUUUGAGGUCACACCAAACAGUGAGUAGACCCCAUCUCACUCUCCCAGGGUUUUUGGAUGCUCCCGAACAUAACAAAGUCUGCUGAAACUCAGUCCCAUGGGCUCCCGUGCAGCACAGCUGCGGGGCUGCAGACCUGGCCAGUGCGCCCUGCAGCUCCUCCUCCUUCUUGGCCAGCUGCAGCUUGAGCUCGUCAAUCUGCGCCUGCAGCUCUGCGAUCUGGUCCUGCAGGUCGGUCGUCUCCCCGUCGAGUUUUCUUUUGGCCUUUUCCAGUUCCUGACGAGUCUUUUCUUCCUUCUUUAAGCGUUCUUUAAGGCAAGACAUAAGAGGCUCUUCAACACACCGAGUGACUCACCACAGGAAUAUACUAAAAUUCAGACUGAUCCAAGUUGAAAAUAAGCCAUUUUAUUCGAAAGCAUGUCACUGCCCUGAUGACAUGGUCAUGCCCUGAUGUCAACUGCUCAGUCAUUUCAAACCCACCGAGAUCUGGAGGGGAGAUAAAUUAGUGUCGGGAGGGAAUUUUAAGGAAGAAGUUGAGUGUCCUAAGGAUGUCCUUUCAUGGCAGCAGGAACCAAUUUGCUGAGAGGAUGAGACCGAGUGUCACAGCCUGAUCAAACAGGUCAACUGUCUUUGACUCGAGAGAAAACAAGUACUAUCAGCACUGCCUCCCCCAGCAGACUGUACACGCUCACGUGCUGCAGAACGAUGUUCUGGACAAGGAUGAACCAGAUACACGACAGCGGUCUCCUAAGAUGAUCAUGGAGCUGGAAACUUCAUCAGAGCUGUCAUAGCACCACAGUGCAAUGACUCUGUUUUUAAAAUACAUGUACUGCAGCCUCCGUGUGCCACGCUGAUAAAGUCUGCAGUCAUGUACAGCAAUGUCCUGGGCCUUCACAUUCACUCAGCGCUUACUCACUGACUCACCCAGAGCAGCUUCCAGUCCUGCAAGCUCCAUUCAUGCUGAGUGCCCAAUAGAGCAGCCAUCUCCUGAGCCUCUGCUUUGUCCAUGAAGACUUCCCAGAAGAGGGACACACAUUCAAGACCACCGCUGCUAGAGAAAAGUACAGGUGGUGACCUCUACUCAAGCAUCUCGCCCUGUGACUGUUUUUCUAUUUCCCUCAUCAACAGACACAGGAAGGUGACAGUACUGGGAGCCUCAUCGAAAACAGGUGUUAAGUACAUGCUUGACAGCAAGAAUCACAAAAGCAAAGAUGCAAGAGAUUCUGCUGUUUGAAAGAGAUCUGGAAAGAAGUGAGCCGAGCUCACCUUUGUGAAGACUCGCCACCACUGCCAGUGCCGUAACUUCAGGAUAGGGAAUGGAUGCAUCACUGAAGUCCUGGGUGAAACGCACAAGGAAGUCGUUCCGACCGCUUGAAGCCACACUGGCUUGUUGGCCUGCUCAGCCCACCACAGGCCCCUGGCACCAGUUCCUGCACUGACUUUCUUCAUGGAUGCUGCCCUGCACGUUGUCCUGCUGCCACUCAGCCAUAUACCCACACUGCGCACACUAAGACACCGAUUUUCCUGAGGCAAUGAAGACAGUAGGCAGAAGGGCCCGUUUUCUGUGCUGCCGCUCUUUAUCGUGCCUUUAGGAGCUACUCUUGUUUUCCUUUUGAUAUGUCACAGAAGAAACAUUUCUCCCCAUCUCCCAAGGGUCCACAGGCAAACGUUCCUAUUGCUGACUUCCUGGCUUCCAGCAGUUGGCUUUCUACCCCACCACGCUACCGAAGCUACAUUUUAGAUCUUGACAAAGGACUCCGAGACUCAGAACUUAGCGGCUUUUCCUCAGCCAAUCCCAAGUGCCUUGCGCGCCGCACUCCUCUGGGGACUACCCACUACUGGACAUCACAUCCUUGGAUUCCAGAGCACCAGAACGGCCUGAGUCUCCUGGGCCCCACUAACAGUGCUGAUGCUCCACUCCGACAGUCCACUCACACGGCUGUGCUCCCACCUAGACUCUGAGCUCCUCAGGAGCAGGGAUCACGGCCCAGGCAUUUUUGUGGACACAACCAAGUGACUGACAGACUCCAGGCCUCCUGAGGAUGUGUGUGUUGAGUAAAUUAACUGGGUAUUUCCUAGAAAUAAUCUGUAAUUGUUUCUCUGAAGUCCUUUUAUAACAGCUUGCAGGAGUAGCUAUAGGACGCUCCUGGGAAAGAGAAGCAAUUGAAGGCGAUGGAAAAAAUAAGAAAAACAUUUCGAAUUAUUCAUUCACUCCAGCAAACAGCGGUAUCAGGAGUGGGAGUGUCUUAAGAAAAGACAGACACUUGCUGUUUGGGAGCAGAAAUUACCUGUCACGUUUCCUUGCAAGAAUCCCACAGCUGCCAUACUGCCAACGAAUUCCUCCUUGCUGGUUAGAAUUUUC